rnacentral:rRNA from 1 species
AUUCCAGCUCCAAUAGCGUAUAUUAAAGUUGCUGCAGUUAAAAAGCUCGUAGUUGGAUCUUGUGAGCGGGCGGGCGGUCCGCCGCGAGGCGAGCCACCGCCCGUCCCCGCCCCUUGCCUCUCGGCGCCCCCUCGAUGCUCUUAGCUGAGUGUCCCGCGGGGCCCGAAGCGUUUACUUUGAAAAAAUUAGAGUGUUCAAAGCAGGCCCGAGCCGCCUGGAUACCGCAGCUAGGAAUAAUGGAAUAGGACCGCGGUUCUAUUUUGUUGGUUUUCGGAACUGAGGCCAUGAUUAAGAGGGACGGCCGGGGGCAUUCGUAUUGCGCCGCUAGAGGUGAAAUUCUUGGAUUUGUUAAAGACGGACUACUGCGAAAGCAUCUGCCAUGGAUGUUUUCAUCA